CGUGGCGGUGCCGGCGGUGGCUCCGGUGAGCUAUGGAGAUUGUUCAACUUCCAGAGGCUUCCUCAUAAAUUUUUGGAAUUUUUGAGACACAGAUAAACUUCGGGUGAUCGAGAUCAACUAUUUUCCUGCAUCCAGCAGCCACAAUAGUCGACGGUGUACUGCUACAGGAGGAGACAUUUUUCAGAAUAACCUGUCCCUUUCCUCUCAGGUUAUGAAAAGAUUACUUAAUUGUAUUAUUAUUCUCUAAAUUUGUAAUUUAGGACUCCGCAUGUGCUAGUAGUAGCAUUAAGCCUAUCAGAGACUGUAUGAAUUCAAGUUUUCAUAUUAAUAAAUGAAAAGAAAAAAUUUUUAUGA